CUUGCGACCAUAUCACUUUGACACACCGGCUCCCGUACGAUCACCGAAGUUAAGCAACGUCGAAUCUGUUCGCUACAUAGAUGGGUGACUGCUUCAGAAUACCAAGUGCUGUAAG